UAGGGAAUAUUGGUCAAUGGGUGAGAGCCUGAACCAGCCAUGCCGCGUGCAGGAAGAAGGCCUUCUGGGUUGUAAACUGCUUUUGCCAGGGGAUAAAAUGACUGUGCGCAGUUAAUUGAAGGUACCUGGUGAAUAAGCACCGGCUAACUACGUGCCAGCAGCCGCGGUAAUACGUAGGGUGCAAGCGUUGUCCGGAUUUAUUGGGUUUAAAGGGUGCGUAGGCGGUUCUGUAAGUCAGUGGUGAAAUACUCUAGCUCAACUAGAGAGGUGCCAAUGAUACUGCAGAACUUGAGUACAGAUGAGGUAGGCGGAAUUGACGGUGUAGCGGUGAAAUGCAUAGAUAUCGUCAAGAACACCGAUAGCGAAGGCAGCUUACUGGGCUGUAACUGACGCUGAUGCACGAAAGUGUGGGGAUCAAACAGGAUUAGAUACCCCGGUAGUCC
rnacentral:rRNA from 1 species